GUCUAUGGCCAUACCACCCUGAACACGCCCAAUCCCGUCUGAUCUCGGAAGCUAAGCAGGGUCGAGCCUGGUUAGUACUUGGAUGGGAGAAACACUAGUUUGAAUUUUAUGCAAUUUUAAUGUGCCACAAACA
ensembl:rRNA 5S_rRNA 5S ribosomal RNA